rnacentral:rRNA from 1 species
GACGAACGCUGGCGGCGUGCUUAACACAUGCAAGUCGAACGGGUCUGCCCUGUUUUUUGCGGGGUGGGUCAGUGGCGAACGGGUGAGUAACACGUGAGUAACCUGCCCCUCACUUCUGGAUAACCGCUUGAAAGGGUGGCUAAUACGGGGUGUUCUGGCUGUGCCGCAUGGUGUGGCUGGGAAAGAUUCACUUUUGUGGUGUUUUGGUGGGGGAUGGGCUCGCGGCCUAUCAGCUUGUUGGUGGGGUGAUGGCCUGCCAAGGCUUUGACGGGUAGCCGGCCUGAGAGGGUGGGAGGUCACACUGGGACUGAGAUACGGCCCAGACUCCUGCGGGAGGCAGCAGUGGGGGGUAUUGCACAAUGGGCGGAAGCCUGAUGCAGCGACGUCGCGUGAGGGAUGGAGGCCUGCGGGUUGUGAACCUCUUUCGCCGGUGAAGAAGGUCCUGCUCUUUGUGGUGGGGUUGACGGUAGCCGGGUUAUGAAGCGCCGGCUAACUACGUG